rnacentral:rRNA from 1 species
CUGAUGCGUUGUUGGGUAGGGGAGCGUUCUGUAAGCCUGCGAAGGUGUGCUGUGAGGCAUGCUGGAGGUAUCAGAAGUGCGAAUGCUGACAUAAGUAACGAUAAAGCGGGUGAAAAGCCCGCUCGCCGGAAGACCAAGGGUUCCUGUCCAACGUUAAUCGGGGCAGGGUGAGUCGACCCCUAAGGCGAGGCCGAAAGGCGUAGUCGAUGGGAAACAGGUUAAUAUUCCUGUACUUGGUGUUACUGCGAAGGGGGGACGGAGAAGGCUAUGUUGGCCGGGCGACGGUUGUCCCGGUUUAAGCGUGUAGGCUGGUUUUCCAGGCAAAUCCGGAAAAUCAAGGCUGAGGCGUGAUGACGAGGCACUACGGUGCUGAAGCAACAAAUGCCCUGCUUCCAGGAAAAGCCUCUAAGCAUCAGGUAACAUCAAAUCGUACCCCAAACCGACACAGGUGGUCAGGUAGAGAAUACCAAGGCGCUUGAGAGAACUCGGGUGAAGGAACUAGGCAAAAUGGUGCCGUAACUUCGGGAGAAGGCACGC